GGUCCUGUAGCUCAGCGGGAGAGCACUACGUUGACAUCGUAGGGGUCACUGGUUCAAUCCCAGUCGGGACCACCA
rnacentral:tRNA from 13 species